rnacentral:misc_RNA from 1 species
CGCACAUUGCACCCUCUGGUAUUCCGGGGGGUAUGCCUGUUCGAGCGUCAUAGCAACCCUCAAGCCCUGCUUGGUAUUGGAUGCAAUUACCAAAUUCAUCUCAAAAUUAGUGGUGGUGCCGUCUGGCUUCCAGCGUAGUAAUCAGCUCGCUGUGGGCGUCCAGGCUGUUGCUUCCAGCAAACAACACCCUAAGGUUGACCUCGGAUCAGGUAGGGAUACCCGCUGAACUUAA